AAAUACUUAGCUGAGAUCUGAAGGAGAAGAAGCUAAUUAAGUAAAGGGGAACAGGUUCACUGAAAGAUGAAACAAACUGUGCAAAGGCCCUGUGGUGGGGAGUGGCAUGGUGUGAUAAUACAAGAUCACUGAAGUCCACAUGCAGCAAGGAAAGGGAGACAUUGGCCCUAGCCACACCUUUCUCUCACCUCUACAUGCUAUAUAAAUCC
rnacentral:lncRNA from 1 species